rnacentral:rRNA from 1 species
GACGAACGCUGGCGGCGUGCUUAACACAUGCAAGUCGAACGGAAAGGCCCUGCUUGCCGGGUACUCGAGUGGCGAACGGGUGAGUAACACGUGGGUGAUCUGCCCUGCACUUCGGGAUAAGCCUGGGAAACUGGGUCUAAUACCGGAUAGGAGCCAUUUUUAGUGUGAUGGUUGGAAAGUUUUUUCGGUGUAGGAUGAGCUCGCGGCCUAUCAGCUUGUUGGUGGGGUAAUGGCCUACCAAGGCGGCGACGGGUAGCCGGCCUGAGAGGGUGGACGGCCACAUUGGGACUGAGAGACGGCCCAGACUCCUACGGGAGGCAGCAGUGGGGAAGAUUGCACAAUGGGCGCAAGCCUGAUGCAGCGACGCCGCGGGGGGGAUGACGGCCUUCGGGUUGUAAACGCCUUUCGCUAGGGACGAAGCUUUUUGUGACGGUACCUAGAUAAGAAGCACCGGCUAACUACGUG